AUUGAACGCUGGCGGAAUGCUUUACACAUGCAAGUCGAACGGCAGCACGGACUUCGGUCUGGUGGCGAGUGGCGAACGGGUGAGUAAUGUAUCGGAACGUGCCCAGUCGUGGGGGAUAACGUAGUGAAAAUUACGCUAAUACCGCAUACGAUCUAUGGAUGAAAGCGGGGGAUCGCAAGACCUCGCCCGAUUGGAGCGGCCGAUAUCAGAUUAGGUAGUUGGUGGGGUAAAGGCCCACCAAGGCAACGAUCUGUAGCUGGUCUGAGGGGACGACCAGCCAGACUAGAACUGAGACACGGUGCAGACUCCUACGGGAGGCAGCAGUGGGGAAUUGUGGACAAUGGGCGAAAGCCUGAUCCAGCCAUUCCGCGUGCAGGAUGAAGGCCCUCGUGUUGUAAACUGCUUUUGUACAGAACGAAAAGGUUUCUACUAAUACUAGGAGCUCAUGACGGUACUGUAAGAAUAAGCACCGGCUAACUACGUGCCAGCAGCCGCGGUAA
rnacentral:rRNA from 1 species